UACGGAGGGGGCGAGCGUUGUCCGAAGUUACUGGGCGUAAAGCGCGUGUAGGCGGGUUGCCAAGUCCGCUGUGAAAGCCCGAGGCUCAACCUCGGAGGGUCGGUGGAUACUGGCAAUCUUGAAGGUGCUAGGGGGAGAUGGAAUUACCGGUGUAGCGGUGAAAUGCGUAGAGAUCGGUAGGAACACCAGUGGCGAAAGCGGCUUCCUGGUCCAGCACCGACGUUCAGGCACGAAAGCGUGGGGAGCAAACAGG
rnacentral:rRNA from 1 species